UAACAACCUGAGCAGCUACUACUCCAUAAUGGAAGGAUCCAGACGUGCUUGUGUCAUCUGACUGUUUCUACCCAGGAAGCAGUGGGGAGUCUCUUGGCUGGAUUAGGAAUACAUCAUUAUUCCUGUGGAAGAGCUGAAAGUGGUGGAAAUGGAGAGGAAGGUCUGGGCAUGUCUGCUGAGACUGCUGCCCCAACAUCUGGAUGCUGACAAGCAGUGGAAAGUGGAUGGAUGGAGGAAUGUAACCAUGAUGACUAUGAUGGAUGGACAGGAAAGACUCUGAGAAAACUUCAAACUAAAAGAUCAUAAGAAGAGAACAGAAACCAAACCAUUCCUGUACAUGUUGCUUCUAUGUGAUUAACCUCACUGCUAUUUCAGCUAAUAUUGUGUGAGUAGUGAGUGGUGUUCUUUGCCUCUCGCAGAUCAGGGUUCACUGAGUAAGCAUUGCUGGGUUUUCAUAAAAAAUGUAAACUAAAACUUUAUUUAAUACAUCGGAAAGACCUACAUGUAAAAUAUGAGCUUUUCGUGACAUUGGUUUUUCAAAGUUUAAUUUCAGUUUUUGAUCAUUUAUGGAGUGUGAUGACAGCUGCCAUGUUGUCUCUCUUCACUCUAACAGUCACUCGAUUAUCAGUUAUUAUUAUUUUCACUCCAGAGACACUGGCACAUGUCCCUGCAUGAACCAUGUAAAUGAUCCAGCUGAUGUAUGGGGACGUUAUCUCUGUCGUGUUCUGUGCUGGUUUGUUGUGGAUUCUGUGACCCCCUCUGAGUCCAGAGCAGGCUUUUCCUCCAUCAUCCAGGGGUGGAGUCAUGAUUCCCGCCCUUCAUCAUCCUCAUUAAACACAGCAUCACCUCCCCUACCUGAGGAGGGAGUUACUCACCUUUACAGCUUACCUGCUUCCUCAGAGCUGGUCCUCUUCCUUCUGGAACACACUUCCUUUGCAUCCUGGUCUUCAGGGAACCUCUCCCUGCGAGUAAAAAGAAACAGUGGCAGAAGGAUUCUCUCCUGCAAUGAUCAAACCUUAUUUGAGUAGCUUUGUUGUAAGAAAUAAAAGCCUUGUGACUGUGAA